rnacentral:rRNA from 1 species
GGAUUAGGCAUGCAAGUCGAACGAGAAGCCCUUGCUUCAAUCCUUCGGGAGAGAAGCUUUGGUGGACAGUGGCGGAAGGGUGAGUAACGCGUGGAUAACCUGCCCUUGAGUUGGGGACAACAUCCCGAAAGGGGUGCUAAUACCGAAUGUGGUAACCUGUCGCAGGACAGGCUCACUAAAGACGGGGAUUCUUCGGAACCUGUCGCUCGAGGAGGGGUCCGCGUCCCAUCAGCUUGUUGGUAAGGUAAUGGCUUACCAAGGCAUACGGGUAGCCGGCCUGAGAGGGUGAUCGGCCACACUGGGACUGAGACACUGCCCAGACUCCUACGGGAGGCUGCAGUCGAGAAUCAUUCGCAAUGCCCGAAAGG